UCUGUUACUCUAUCUAUACCCACCCUCUCUGUCUGUUACUCUAUCUAUACCCACUCCCUCUCUGUUACUCUAUCUAUACCCACUCCCUCUAUGUCUGUUACUCUAUCUAUACCCACUCCCUCUCUCUCUAUUACUCUAUCUAUACCCACUCUCUCUCUCUGUACUCAUCUAUACCCACUCCCUCUCUGUCUGUUACUCUAUCUAUACCCACUCCCUCUCUCUGUUACUCUAUCUAUACCCACUCCCUCUCUGUCUGUUACUCUAUCUAUACCCACUCCCCCUCUGUUACUCUAUCUAUACCCACUCCUCUCUGUCUGUUACUCUAUCUAUACCCACUCCCUCUCUCUGUUACUCUAUCUAUACCCACUCCCUCUCUGUCUGUUACUCUAUCUAUACCCACUCCCCCUCUGUUACUCUAUCUAUACCCACUCCCUCUCUGUCUGUUACUCUAUCUAUACCCACUCAUUCUCUCUGUUACUCUAUCUAUACCCACUCCCUCUCUGUCUGUUACUCUAUCUAUACCCACUCCCUCUCUGUCUAUUACUCUAUCUAAACUCACUCCUUCUGUCUGUUACUAUAUCUUAUCUAUACCCACUCCCUCUUUCUCUGUUACUCUAUCUAUAUCCACUCCCUCUCUCUCUCUGUUACUCUAUCUAUACCCACUCCCUCUCUCUCUGUUACUCUAUCUAUACCCACUCCCUCUCUCUUUUACUCUAUCUAUACCCACUCCCUCUCUCUGUUACUCUAUCUAUACCCACUCCCUCUCUCUCUGUUACUCUAUCUAUACCCAGUCCCUCUCUCUGUUACCCUAUCUAUACCCAGUUCCUCUCUCUGUUACUUGAUCUAUACCCACUCCCUCUCUCUCUGUUACUCUAUCUAUACCCACUAUCUCUCUCUCUAUUACUCUAUCUAUACCCACUCCCUCUCUCUCUAUUACUCUAUCUAUACCCACUCCCUCUCUCUCUCUGUUACUCUAUCUAUACCCACUCCCUCUCUCUGUUACUCUAUCUAUACCCACUCCCUCUCUCUGUUACUCUAUCUAUACCCACUCCCUCUCUCUAUUACUCUAUCUAAACUCACUCCCUCUGUCUGUUACUAUAUCUAUCUAUACCCACUCCCUCUUUCUCUGUUACUCUAUCUAUAUCCACUCCCUCUCUCUCUGUUACUCUGUCUAUACCCCACUCCCUCUCUCUCUGUUACUAUAUCUAUACCCACUCCCUCUCUCUCUAUUACUCUAUCUAUACCCA
rnacentral:lncRNA from 1 species